GAGAGAGAGAGACAGGGCGGGGAAGGGGCAGAGAGAGAGGGAGACACAGAAUCCGAAGCAGGCUCCAGGCUCUGAGCUGUCAGCACAGAGCCUGACAUGGGGCUUGAACUCAUGAAGUUGGACGCUUAACCCACUGAGCCACCCAGGCCCCCUUAACUUCUAAGUUUUUAUAAUAGUGAAUGCUUCCAAUUAAGGCAUUGAAAUGGGGGAGUUAUAUUUCAUGAGGUCUGGUGGAAGACCAGAGCUGUUUUGUGUGAAAGGUGCUGAGUGGGACGCUUCUGGAGCAGUACUUCCAAUCUCUUUUACUUCAGAACACACUGAAAGUAAUACUUUGUACAGGACACGGGGAUAGGAGGUUUUAAACCACAGACAAGCUGCCACUGGACUGGUAGCCCCAGAUGGCUGCCCCAAGAGGUGAGAUAUCAGUAUCUUACAACUUUCAGCUCUCAUAUUGGGAAGUUCUGCUCUAUAGAGGGCAUUCAGGAGGUCCUAGUCUUGUGAAGAGCUCAAUAUUUACAAGUUAUAAUGCAAACAUACAGUGUUAAGUUAUGAUAGUAUUAUUUGGUGAAAUAGUAAGAAUGGGCGUUAGAUCUGUUUGAGGUGGAAAGGAUCUAGUAAAGGCUCUGUAGAGGGGGUGGGGCAUGGAAGGAAUUAUCUUGUGCAAAGGUAGAGUGGGAGCAAAGGGCAGAGGGAACUUGGGGACUGCCAAGGAUUUCUGAUGUGGUUGGAGGGUAAGAUUUGGGGAUGCAAAUAGGAAGCAGGAUAGUGGGAAUUACUGUUAAGAAAGUAGGCUGCGGUUGGCUUCAGGAGGGUCUUUAUGAGAUUGAAUGAGCUCAUGACUUUGGGCAACACUGGUGGUGACACUUCCCCUAUUCCUUUUAGGAAAAUCCUUCUGGGGCAGUGUAGAGUGAACUGAAGCCUGCAAGCUGAUACAUCCCUGGGGAGGGAAAGACAUUGAUCCAGGCUAGAUGAGGGAUAAUAAAGGCUUGCACUUUAUUAUUGGUGAAUAGAGGUUGAAAGUGCUUCUUGAAGUGGGAACCCAAAAUUCUGCUUAUUGAUAAGGAGAAAGGUGACUCACAUUUGGAGUCUGGUUGAAGGAAAGGAUGACUCAAGACUAUUUUCAGAAUUAGAGUCUUGUAUAGGGGACAAGGAACUUGAUUUUGGACAUGGGGAUUUUAAGAUGCUUGCAGAGAAAUAAGUGUUAACGUUUAUAAAAUGCUAGGUUCUGAUCUAAGCACAUUUUAAAACUCCUUCUAUUCUCAUAAUAGCCAUAAAAAAGUACGUGUUAUCAGUUAGUGUCCAGUCAGGAAAAUAAAACGCACGGAAUGUUUUAAGCACCGAAGGGUUUAAUGCAGGAAAUUGGUUACAGUGGUAUUGGAAGAGCUGGAGGAACAAAAAGAAAAAGGUGUGUGUUGGAGCAAAAAGGAGAAGGGAACAAAGAGGAGGAGAAAGUAAGUGUGUGUGUGCGUGUGUGUGUGUGUGUGUGUGUGUGUGUGUGUGUGUAGAUGAAUGUUGGAGGAACAAAAAGGAGAAGGAAAUGUUAAUCAGUUGUCAGACAGCUGCUGCAUAAACUGUAUGCUCUACAGAUUUUCUGGAGAUCUUCAUUGGUUCUGCUGCUUUGGAACCCCCACAGAUGCUGCUGGAGCCUCUGGCUGUCUGUUGCUGCUUGUGGAGGUACCACCAGGAACAGGAAACAAAGACAUUUUUCUUGCUCUCACCUUGGAAUCUCCUGCCACCAUAUCCAAGAGGAAGGUAGUUGGUAAAGGGAGUUUGGAAAAUACAGUUUAUAGAUUUCCAGCUCCUAUGUAAUAAUAGAGAAGAGAAGAGAACCAACAGAAAAAUAACCAGCACAGUGGGUACUGUUUUUAUCCUUAUGUUACAGGUGUGGAGACCAAGUCAUGGGAGAAGGUCACACAGAUACAGCUUGGCAGAGUUGAGAUGUGGAUGUAGGUAGUCUGGUUUCAGAGUGUGUGCUCUUAGCCUCUGCACUUUGAUCUUGCCUCCACACAUGGUUAUUAUUUGCUUUUUCUCCUUAUUGCUGAGCACUUCAAAUGAGCAGCUGUUUCCAUUGAUUUUGCUUAUCCUGCACUUACUUUUCUUUGAUAUCUCUUACUGGCAACAGUUUUUCACCUCAACCUCUGGAACCUGUCUUCUGGUCCCUAUUGAUUUUAUAGCUAACAUAAUCGGUUAUUUCAGUUUCUAUUUGUCUUUAAUCUAUUUCUGACUUUUGAUACAGAUGGAUACCUAUUUAUAUGGGAUUCCAACCUUGAUUUCUAUGAUGCUGACUUUGACUUGCUUCAUUUUCUUCUUAUCUCACUGAGGCCCUUUGGUUUUCUUCUUUUUCUUCCCAUUCCUUAAACCAUUGCCAUAUCUUGCCUUGAGUUUGGAUUUUAGUGUAUUAUAAGAAGCUACUUAAUGUUAAUUUUAUAUUUAAAUCAGGACCAAUAAAAUCUUCAUGUAUACAGUUCUUAUGACCUUUUUCCUUUGUGUGUUAUGAAGUCAGACAAGUCAGAGCAGGGUUUCAAUUUGUGUUCUGCCCUGGGCAAGGAGGAAGAGAACAGGAUGACUGAAGGAGACAGACUCACUCUGAGUAACUACUAUGUACCAGCACUGUGCUAAGUGCUUCAGAUGUGUUGCUUCAUUUAAGUUCUCCUGUGUGAGAUUGCUUGUUUGUUACCCUUAUUUACAGAUGAAGAAACUAACUCUUCGUGAUGAACCAGUAAUAGAACUGGGGUUGAAACCCUCAUCUGAUGUGCUCUGACAGCCAGAUUCUUUCCUCUGGACCACCUGGGAGAAGCUCCCACUUUCUUAUCUGUUAAGUGAAGAAACUGGGCAAGAUCAGUUUUCAGGCCCAUUUCAGUAUCAUCGUUCUGAUUUUGUCACAAACUAGUGUCGCAAGCAGUAGUUGCUUCUCGUGUUGAAAAAGGAAGUUGCCUUCCCAUUCCACGAAACAUCCUGUUUUAUUAAGAUCAAGAGUACUAAUGUGUUAUUUGUAAAAGUUAUGAAGUAGGGCACAGGCAUUUAAAGUAGUCAUGAUGAUAGAUCUUCAUGUAAGUUGCAAGAGAGCCCCAUUACCUCCAAAUGAGGCUGCUGCCUAGAACAUUAGAGGCUGUGGCUUUUAUUGACAGGUGCUCAGAAUAAUAGCUUUGGAACAACUCCAGUCUAAACAAAAGGGCAAUCCAGUUAUUCCAUUAUACUUUAUGCUGAAAGCAUGUGCUUCCAGAUUAUUAAGAAUCCCUUUCUUUGGAUGGAAUUUAGUGUGAGAUUUGCAAGAAGAUAGUGCAAAAUACAUUUUAAAGAUAAGGUUCACUGUAAUAUGGUUUGAUUUCUUUAUAAAGCCAGUGGACAACCCUAAAAUGGUUAACUGUCAUGUGGUUCAUCCAUGUCUUGCCAUCAGACAUGCAAAUAGAUGGUUUAAGUGGAUACCAACAUCCUCUCUUGAUAUAAAGGACCCAUUAUAAAAUACUCAUCCAAGUAUUCCUACACACACACACACACACACACACACACACACACCAUUAGGAUAAGUGCGUUUCGGAGCACCUGGGUGACUCAUUCUGUUAAGCGUCUGACUUUUGAUUUCAGCUCAGGUCAUGCCUGAUCUCAUGGUUUGUGAGUUCGACCCCUGUGUCGAACCAUGCUUCAGGCCCACACUGACAAUGCAGAGCCUGCUUGUGAUUCUCUCUCUCUUCUCUCUCUCUGUGCCUCCCUAUCUUCCUCCCUCCUCCUCUCUCUCAAAAUAAAUAAAUAAGCUGAAAAAAAAUAGAGUAUGUUUCCAGAUUCCAUAGAAUUUGUUUUAUCUUCUUCACUCAUAAACAUCCUCCAGCCCUCCCUCAUUCAUGUUUUAUUUUGUAAAAAUGGGAAAUUGAAAGGUUUAUACCUCUGUUUUUAACUUUUAGUUUUAUUGACUUUGCCUGCUUUAGAGGAAGCCUACAGGGGAGUCUCGGCUCCCUGGCCACUCCUUCCUUUGGUUUAGGUGGUUGGUUCUUCCUUUAGCAAACCUCUAACUAUAUGGGUCCCCGGCACCUGAGGCUGGGUUAUUUUCUCCUACCUAGGUGAUCCCAAUCACCCCCAAAUUCUUCUAUGCUACCAAGUGAUGAUUACUACCCAAUUUUGGUUUCCAGGUCUGACUGCUCUCCUGGUUGCUUAUUUACUUCUUACGUCUAUUUAGAUUUGGUGGGAAUUUCAUGCCAUACAUUGGAAUGUAACCUAUUUUAUCGAUUAUAUCAAUGAAUUUAACUAUUUUAUUUUUUUAUUAAAAAAUUCUUUUUAAUGUUUAUUUUUGAGACAGAGAGAGACUGAGUGUGAGUGAGGGAGGGGCAGAGAGAGAGGGAGACAUAGAAUCCGCUCCAGGCUCUGAGCUGUGAGCACAGAGCCAGAUGCAGGGCUCGAACCCAUCGACCACGAGAUCGUGACCUGAGCCGAAGUCAGACACUGAACCAACCGACCGAGCGACCCAGACACCCUUGAACUUAACUAUUUUAAAAGAUUCCAUUGUGGAAUAUCAUGUUCAUAAACGUAGGUAAUAACAAGGGUUUGGGGGUUAAAAACAGGAAUUUGUUUCUGUGGAAAUAAUUCCUAGACCAGCUUCUUGGGUGGGGAAUGAAUGACUUGCCGAAUUUUGAAAAAUGGCAAGUUUUGAGAAAUGGCAGUUAUAAGGGUAUGACACAGAAAUAUAGCAGUGCUUGAUAUAGUUGCUGUAAUAAAAGUGGAAUAUUUUCAACUUUGUUCACAUUUGACAGCUUCUAUUUUUGAGGUAUCUCAAAUACAUUUUGUAUGAUCACCUCCAUUUCACCCCUCCCUUGUGUGCUUUUAUUUUAAUCCAGUGAAGCCAGCCUGACAGUAAACAGUGUGAUUAUAUUCUCUUCUAACACUUAGUGGUUUUUGGUACUUAAGUUUGUCUAAUGGGCCCAUCACUAAAAGUCGGAGUCAUUUCUCUCUGCUGCCUUGAUAGAGAGCAUGUGGGUUUGCGUGGGGCUGCCUUGCAACACAGCACUGAGUUGUAGUGUGCAGAAAAGCUGUUCCUCUUGAUCCACUACACGUGGCAGUCCCCGGGCAGGUGUGUCUAAGAUGAGGAUGUUUUCAAUGUACUUUAGGUCCUCUUCAGUACGGUGCCUCAGACCCCAAGACCUAUCUCUUACUUAUAUUAGGCAUCACCUCUUACCUCCCUUAACCCCUAUAGUGAGCCAGAGGAAGAGGGUUGUUUGUGUUUUUGUGGACUGUUUAGGGCAGUGCAGUGUACUAGCCUGCCUUCCCUCACCAUCUUUGUGUAUCUGAUUUGAUGGAGCCGUAGCAGUGGCCCAUUCUAGUGUGCUCCAGCAAGACCCUGCUUAUCUGUAAGCCUAAAACGUAGGGUAUUUUCUACACUCUUGAAAAAAAAAAUAUCACAAGCUGACUAAGCAAAAAAAAAAAAAAAAAAAAAAAGCAGCACUCUAAAAAGUCCGGCCCUAUUUUCCUCUUCCCUAAUUAGGAGACCCUAAAUCCUCCUUUACAAUCUGUAUUUCUUCUUAAGAGAUCAUUUUAGAAAGUCUGACUUUUUCCCUUUCUAGUUAACAGUGUAUUUGAAGGAGAUGUGGAAGAGGGGAAAGAAGGGUAAGCUCCAUAUAGAUAGGUUAGCAUCCAAGAGUGCCAGCUUGAGAAAGUGAUAGUUUGAGAAAGUAAAACCUUAAAAAAAAAAACAAAAAAAAAAGAU